AUUGAACGCUGGCGGCAGGCCUAACACAUGCAAGUCGAGCGGAUGAAGGGAGCUUGCUCCUGGAUUCAGCGGCGGACGGGUGAGUAAUGCCUAGGAAUCUGCCUGGUAGUGGGGGAUAACGUCCGGGAACGGGCGCUAAUACCGCAUACGUCCUGAGGGAGAAAGUGGGGGAUCUUCGGACCUCACGCUAUCAGAUGAGCCUAGGUCGGAUUAGCUAGUUGGUGGGGUAAGGGCCCACCAAGGCGACGAUCCGUAACUGGUCUGAGAGGAUGAUCAGUCACACUGGAACUGAGACACGGUCCAGACUCCUACGGGAGGCAGCAGUGGGGAAUAUUGGACAAUGGGCGAAAGCCUGAUCCAGCCAUGCCGCGUGUGUGAAGAAGGUCUUCGGAUUGUAAAGCACUUUAAGUUGGGAGGAAGGGCAGUAAGUUAAUACCUUGCUGUUUUGACGUUACCAACAGAAUAAGCACCGGCUAACUUCGUG
rnacentral:rRNA from 1 species